rnacentral:tRNA from 1 species
GCUAUUUUGGCAGAAAAGUGUAAUGGUUUUAGAAGUCAUUUAUAUAUAAUUUAUUUAUAUAGGUAGUA